UACGGGGGGAGCAAGCGUUGUUCGGAUUUACUGGGCGUAAAGGGCGCGUAGGCGGCACUGCAAGUCAGUUGUGAAAUCUCCGGGCUUAACCCGGAAAGGUCAACUGAUACUGCGGGGCUAGAGUGCAGAAGGGGCAACUGGAAUUCUCGGUGUAGCGGUGAAAUGCGUAGAUAUCGAGAGGAACACCUGCGGCGAAGGCGGGUUGCUGGGCUGACACUGACGCUGAGGCGCGAAAGCCAGGGGAGCGAACGGG
rnacentral:rRNA from 1 species